UACGUAGGGGGCAAGCGUUAUCCGGAUUUACUGGGUGUAAAGGGAGUGUAGACGGCGAUGCAAGUCUGAAGUGAAAGGCGGGGGCCCAACCCCCGGACUGCUUUGGAAACUGUAUGGCUGGAGUGCAGGAGAGGUAAGUGGAAUUCCUAGUGUAGCGGUGAAAUGCGUAGAUAUUAGGAGGAACACCAGUGGCGAAGGCGGCUUACUGGACUGUAACUGACACUGAGGCUCGAAAGCGUGGGGAGCAAACAGG
rnacentral:rRNA from 1 species